rnacentral:rRNA from 1 species
UCGUACGCAUGCAUUUGGCUUGCCAGAUUGCGAUGAGUGGCGGACGGGUGAGUAACACGUAAGAACCUACCUUUUGGAGAGGGAUAACCAUUGGAAACGAUGGCUAAUACCUCGUAUUGCUGAGAAGUGAAAGAUGAAAAUCGCCAAUAGAUGGGCUUGCGGCUGAUUAGCUUGUUGGUGAGGUAAUGGCUUACCAAGGCAAUGAUCAGUAGCUGGUCUGAGAGGAUGAUCAACCACACUGGGACUGAGACACGGCCCAGACUCCUACGGGAGGCAGCAGUGAGGAAUUUUCCGCAAUGGGCGACAGCCUGACGGAGCAAUGCCGCGUGAAGGAUGAAGGCCUAUGGGUUGUAAACUUCUUUUCUCAGAGAAGAAGCAUUGACGGUAUCUGAGGAAUAAGCAUCGGCUAACUCUGUGCCAGCAGCCGCGGUAAGACAGAGGAUGCAAGCGUUAUCCGGAAUGAUUGGGCGUAAAGCGUCUGUAGGUGGCUUAAAAAGUCUCCUGUCAAAGAUCAGGGCUUAACCCUGGGCCGGCAGGAGAAACUCUUAGGCUAGAGUUUGGUAGGGGCAGAGGGAAUUCCCGGUGGAGCGGUGAAAUGCGUAGAGAUCGGGAGGAACACCAAAGGCGAAAGCACUCUGCUGGGCCAUAACUGACACUGAGAGACGAAAGCGAGGGGAGCAAAAGGGAUUAGAUACCCCUGUAGUCCUCGCCGUAAACGAUGGAUACUAGAUGUUGGGUAGGUUAAAUCACUCAGUAUCGUAGCUAAC